ACCAAGCUGAGACGGGGGCUGCUGGAAUUCCUGCAGGAGAAGGUUCCGUACCGCCUGCGCCAGCUGACAGCCCUGCAGCAACGCUCGCUUUACGUCGGACCCCAAACGGUGACCGCGACCCCGCAGCUCCCGGGGCUUUUCCAAGGGAUGGAGAUGAAACCCCACGAAACGAAGGGCGGUCACCGCGUCACCCAGUUCCUCACCUACAACUGCCUGGCGACGGAUGCAGACCUUUACAAUGAGUGUCUCCGGAGCUUCUGGACGUGUCCCCACUGUGGGCUCCAUGCGCCCUUCACCCCCAUGGAGCGAGUCUGCCACGAGAACGCGUGUCGGCCGCCGGACGGUGGGGCC